CUCCUACGGGAGGCAGCAGUGGGGAAUAUUGGACAAUGGGCGCAAGCCUGAUCCAGCCAUGCCGCGUGGGUGAAGAAGGCCUUCGGGUUGUAAAGCCCUUUUGUUGGGAAAGAAAAGCAGCCGGUUAAUACCCGGUUGUUCUGACGGUACCCAAAGAAUAAGCACCGGCUAACUUCGUGCCAGCAGCCGCGGUAAUACGAAGGGUGCAAGCGUUACUCGGAAUUACUGGGCGUAAAGCGUGCGUAGGUGGUUCGUUAAGUCUGAUGUGAAAGCCCUGGGCUCAACCUGGGAAUUGCAUUGGAUACUGGCGGGCUAGAGUACGGUAGAGGGUAGUGGAAUUCCUGGUGUAGCAGUGAAAUGCGUAGAGAUCAGGAGGAACAUCCGUGGCGAAGGCGACUACCUGGACCAGUACUGACACUGAGGCACGAAAGCGUGGGGAGCAAACAGGAUUAGGUACCCUGGUAGUCCACGCCCUAAACGAUGCGAACUGGAUGUUGGGUUCAACUAGGAACUCAGUAUCGAAGCUAACGCGUUAA
rnacentral:rRNA from 1 species